GUCGAGAAUCUUUCACAAUGGGGGCAACCCUGAUGGAGCGACGCCGCGUGGAGGAUAAGGUCUUCGGAUUAUAAACUCCUGUCAUGCGUGAACAAGGUUGCUUGGUUAAUACCUGGGCAAAUUGAUGGUAACGCAAGAGGAAGAGACGGCUAACUCUGUGCCAGCAGCCGCGGUAAUACAGAGGUCUCAAGCGUUGUUCGGAAUCACUGGGCGUAAAGGGUGCGUAGGUGGCGUGGUAAGUCAGAUGUGAAAGCCCGGGGCUCAACCUCGGAACUGCAUCCGAUACUGCCAUGCUAGAGUACUGGAGAGGUGACUAGAAUUCUCGGUGUAGCAGUGAAAUGCGUAGAUAUCGAGAGGAAUACCAAAGGCGUAGGCAGGUCACUGGACAGUUACUGACACUGAGGCACGAAGGCCAGGGGAGCGAACGGGAUUAGAUACCCUUGUAGUCC
rnacentral:rRNA from 1 species